rnacentral:rRNA from 1 species
UACGUAGGGCGCAAGCGUUGUCCGGAAUUAUUGGGCGUAAAGAGCUCGUAGGCGGUCUGUCGCGUCCGUUGUGAAAACUCGAGGCUCAACCUCGGGCUUGCAGUGGAUACGGGCAGACUAGAGUGCGGUAGGGGAGACUGGAAUUCCUGGUGUAGCGGUGGAAUGUGCAGAUAUCAGGAGGAACACCGAUGGCGAAGGCAGGUCUCUGGGCCGCAACUGACGCUGAGGAGCGAAAGCAUGGGGAGCGAACAGG